CCUACGGGAGGCAGCAGUGAGGAAUAUUGGUCAAUGGGCGCGAGCCUGAACCAGCCAAGUAGCGUGAAGGAUGACUGCCCUACGGGUUGUAAACUUCUUUUAUAAAGGAAUAAAGUGGGGCACGUGUGCCUUUUUGUAUGUACUUUAUGAAUAAGGAUCGGCUAACUCCGUGCCAGCAGCCGCGGUAAUACGGAGGAUCCGAGCGUUAUCCGGAUUUAUUGGGUUUAAAGGGAGCGUAGAUGGGUUGGUAAGUCAGUUGUGAAAGUUUGCGGCUCAACCGUAAAAUUGCAAUUGAUACUGGCAGGCUGGAGUACAGUUGAGGUAGGCGGAAUUCGUGGUGUAGCGGUGAAAUGCUUAGAUAUCACGAAGAACCCCGAUUGCGAAGGCAGCUUACUAAACUGCCACUGACAUUGAUGCUCGAAAGUGUGGGUAUCAAACAGGAUUAGAUACCCUUGUAGUC
rnacentral:rRNA from 1 species